AUUCAUAGAGCGUCAAAACUUCUGUACAAUUUCUGGGAAGGCACUGACUCCUGACAUACAGGUGCUCCUAGUUUAGGAGUCAGGGCGUCACCAUUUAAGUUAAGUUUUUAUUGCACAAUAAAAUUAUGUUUAUGUU